AUUAUUUUUUUAAUGGGAUACUGUGUUUGUGCAAGCCAGAGUGCGAUACCGCAACAGGACUGGUAGAUAGUAAUGGAAUAUUAACAUUUCCGUAAUUCCUUUGGAAUGUAGUUUGAAGCUGCCCGUGUUGUUUUCCUUCCAUUCGCCUUGCAGCUGCUUUGGCGUUUUCUCACUGACUCGGGCAUGGGCAGGCUGGGGGAUCCCCAUGUAUUAGCUCCCAAUUACCGGUGGUCAGCAGCUGCCGUGUGCAGCCCUGGCACCAAGCAACCCGCCGCCACAUCACAUCCCCUCCCCUGCCCAGAGCUCUUCCUUGCUCCACCGCUCUGCACAGCCCCUCCGUGCCCGGCAUGAGGGGUUGCUCCCGCUCCUCCGCCUCCCCGUGCGCGGAACACUAAUUAACUCCCGACCUCCCGCUCCGCACGCCCGGGCUGGCGGCGCCUUCCCGGGGGGGCCGGGCCUGCAAAGCCGCUGCGGGGCAAGGGUGAGAUCCGAACGGGCCCCGCCGCGCAAUGGCCGCUCCCUGCUACUUAGGCUGGGAUUUCAGCACGCAGCAGCUGAAAGUCAUUGCUAUUGAUGAGCAGCUGAGAGUAAUUUAUGAGGAUAAUGUUCAUUUUGAUAAAGACCUUCCGGAAUUCAAGACUCAAGGUGGAGUCUAUAUUCACAGUGACAGACUGACAGUCACUUCUCCUGUACUAAUGUGGGUCAAGGCUCUGGAUAUGAUUUUGGAAAAGAUGAGGUCUUCAGGCUUUAACUUCUCUCAAGUCAGAGCUUUGUCUGGUGCUGGCCAGCAACAUGGGAGUGUGUACUGGAAAAAAGGAAGCAUGCAAAUUUUAAAGGAUGCAUCAUCUGAACUGCCUUUACAUCAGUCACUAAAGGCUUGUUUUUCUGUCAGUAACAGCCCCAUAUGGAUGGAUUCUAGCACGGCUUCCCAGUGCAGCGCUUUGGAGAAAGCCGUGGGGGGAGCACAGCACCUAGCGAGUAUCACUGGUUCUCGAGCCUAUGAGCGUUUUACAGGAAACCAGAUAGCAAAGAUUUACAGCCAGAAUCCUGAGGUCUACAUGCAAACUGAGAGAAUCUCUUUGGUUAGUAGUUUUGCAGCUUCCCUUUUCCUAGGAACUUAUGCACCCAUUGAUUACAGUGACGGUUCUGGUAUGAACUUGUUGCAGAUUUGGGAAAAGGUAUGGUCAGUAUCUUGCCUUGAUGCUUGUGCACCUGGAUUAAAGGAGAAACUUGGAUGCCCUGUACCAUCCCAUUCAGUGCUGGGGCCCAUUUCUCCAUAUUAUAGUCAGCGUUAUGGGUUUAGCCCAGAUUGUAAAGUAGUAGCAUUUACAGGAGACAAUCCAGCAUCAUUGGCAGGGAUGAGACUUCAAGAAGGAGAUAUUGCAAUUAGCCUUGGCACAAGUGACACAUUGUUUCUGUGGAUCCAAGAACCAACUCCUGCCUUAGAAGGUCAUAUCCUCUGCAAUCCUGUUGAUUCUCAAACAUACAUGGCACUUUUAUGUUUUAAGAACGGCUCUCUGAUGAGAGAGAGGGUCAGAGAUGACUGUGCUUCAGGCUCAUGGGAUGAAUUCUCCAAAGCCUUAUCAUCUACUGUUGCUGGAAACAAUGGAAACUUGGGUUUCUACUUUGAUGUGAUGGAAAUUACUCCUGAAGCAGUUGGGAUUCACAGAUUCAACAAAGACAACCAACAGGUUUCAGUCUUUCCAAAGGAGGUGGAAAUACGAGCGUUGAUUGAAGGGCAGUUCAUGGCCAAGAGGAUUCAUGCUGAAAAGCUGGGAUAUAAAGUCACCUUUAAAGAAUUUCAGUGAGAUCAUUUGGACUGCUUGCAUUCAUAAUGCCUUGCUGAAGUGCUGUUAUGGAUAAAUGUAUGGCUUAUCACGUUCUGUGCUCCAGAGGAGCAUGCACACAAAUAAAUGAUGAGGCACAGGACAAGACAUUCAGGAAUGUGAGAAGGAAAGUGCCCAGAACAAGGAUUUUGGCUACUGGUGGUGCAUCACACAAUAAAAAGAUCUUACAGGUCCUGUCUGAUGUAUUCAACGCACCAGUGUACACUAUCGAUACCACCAACUCUGCUUGUUUAGGAAGUGCUUACAGAGCAAUUCACGGGCUGGUAGCUGAGACGAAUGUGUCCUUGGCUGAUGUCGUGAAAUUAGCACCGGAGCCUAGAUUGGCUGUUACACCAGCUGCUGGGGCUGAGGAGCUCUAUCAUCCACUUCUGAAAAGAUACGCUGAACUUGAACAGAAGGUUAUCUACAACGCAACCUCUUCUUGUCUUGCAAAAUAGAAGCAAACAAAAUUUAUAAGCUGGCUGGAGUGGACUCCCAAGGAGAAGAUCAGAAAAGAUUUGCUCAGAAUUUACUGGAGUUUAAAUCAUUUUGUUCCUCUUUGUAGACAAAUAAUUUUAAAAUGUCUGUGUUUGUGUUGGUGGAAAAAAUUACAUUGUGAUUGAAAACCUGAUUAAAAAAGCAUCAUGUUACUCUCUGAGUUUGCGACUUCAAUUUUUUUUAGGUACUUUUCACAUCAUUUUGCUGUUUCAGAAUAGCUGGAUGACAAAGUCGAGUUCCUUGUAUAUAUGAAUCGCUCUACCCACCUCUGUCAGCUUUGAUUCCAUGUGUUUAGCAUGCCAGCCUCUGCAUGAGGUUCUAGCACAGUAUCUUAAUUCCACAACUUCUCCCACUUAAAUCUUUUGAGACUAUCUUUUUGUACAUAUGUAACUCAUCGCUGUUUGUAUCUUUGCCUCCAUUAAACCAACAGAAAACAUUAAGUAUGCUUAAUCCCAUCUUUCUUUAACAUGUGGGAUAUUUGUGGUGUGAAGGCUGAUUAAAGUCUUUAAAGACUCCCUGGGAUCCUCAGAGAAGGUGAAUUCUUGUUACAUGACACUAUGGAAAGUCUGUUGUGUGAUAAAACAUGACGUGGUUGGAUUUUAUAAAUUGUGGAUAGCACAGAGGCCUUAUGAUACAGAUGCCAUUACACAGUGUUUUACUUGACAUCAGUUUUGUAAAAAAAGAAAAUAAAGGAUCAAAAGUG